rnacentral:rRNA from 1 species
GCGCUAUAGGGGCGGCCGAUGGCAGAUUAGCUAGUUGGUGGGGUAAAGGCCUACCAAGGCGACGAUCUGUAGCUGGUCUGAGAGGACGACCAGCCACACUGGGACUGAGACACGGCCCAG